ensembl:lncRNA
AUGAACAUCUCUAUUUUCAGGAGCUACUGUGGAAUAGAAACCCCAGACUUCCAAAUAUGGUGCUUGUUAAGCAAAGCGAUUACAAAAUCAGGUCAAGAAAAAAAAAUCCCUUGUACCACGCAAUAUAAAAAGACAUGUCAGGUCAAGUGGCAAAGAGGACUGGUUUUAAAUGCAAGUUACCCACAUGAAGCAAUUAAGGAGAGAGAGAAAGUGAUAUGGAUUUUAAGGUGUGACAUGGGCCAAAUACAAGCGGAGGAGAAUUGACUAAGAUACGAACUGGUCUAGGAAAAUUUAAAUCCUACCUUUGGGAGCACACUUGGAUUAAUAUAUAUUUAUUGUAAUUCAUUAAAAAAUCCUUCUCUUCUCAGCUAUUUUAUUACGUUUGCAAUUUGCUUCUCUUUGCAGCCACAGAUAAACACCAAGAGCCAAUCUCAGAGGUAAAUUCUUGCCUAGGCCUCCUUUUUGCUGUCAGUGGGCUGUGUUGACUUAGAGCCCACUUUCAGAGAUGUAUUGAAAUUCCAUAUUAAGUUAAAGGAUGCUUUGUAAUGUUUGAUCUCUCUCCCAGAACAAACAGACCUGACACGGUCCAGGUAUCCCUCCCUCUUUUUCCUGAUGUCAUUUGUGCUUUCAGAUCUUCCCCUGCAGCGAUUGCUGUUGGUCAUCAGCUUGACUACUGGGGCAUUUCUAGAUUUCCACUGUAGCCUGAUUCUUGUGUGGUGUAGGAGGGAGGGAGAUUUCAAGACCCGGUCUUGGGAUAGCCUGGCUGGUGGAGCGGAGGUGCUGCCCUCCCUGUGCGUAGCUUGUGAAACACUCAGGAUCUGCUUCUCUUGCUCUUUCUGCUGGUGACUGAGGGAUGCUGGGUGGAUCAAGAAGAGCAGGCAGCCCCUCUUUAAGCCGCAUACCAAUUUCUUUAGGCAGAAACACAAGCCUUUCUCCAUCCCGUGCCCUCUCCUCCUGUGGCACAUUCAGGCAAUAAAGGGGAGCGAUGAAAUGCAACCUGUUGGUACUGGCACUUGCUCAAAGGCUGUAGCCUGAGUGGAGGCAGCUGACUGUGCUGGCACCUCCGCCUGGGCUUGGCAAGACCAGAGCGCAUUCCAUUCUCACCAUGGCCUGGAACGGGACCUGAUCGAAAGUGGCUAUAAAAUGAUGACAGGGAGAGGUAGGAACCAUGGCCCAGCAGAGGAAGGGGAGCAGGAGGAAGCACCGAGAACAGCCAUGCAGUUUAGAAAGGGUGAAAGACAGGGAAAUGUUAGGUGCUGGCAUUUCCUUUUCUUUGCUUCUUUUUUUCCUUUCUCUCUUUUGCUUGUUUCAGUCAGGUUGUUCUUGUGGGGGCAGAAAGCUGUGUAGUCAUCUUAGAGCUAUCUUAUCCUCUGAUUUAGUGGAUGCUUCUGCUUAACAAAUCAUUUCAUGCUACUUGCUGAUGGGGCUUUCAAAGGCAUGGCUUUGGGGUAACAAGCAAAAUUAGAAAUGAUCAGCAGUUAGGAGUGAUACUCAUGAUUUUAAUUGGCUAUGAUCAUUGUUGGCUGGGGAGGGCCUUUCAUGAUCUGAGAUAUCCUUUUAAUUUUGGAGAAAAUCAAGGAAAAGCAUUCAUUGAUAUGUUUUUUUUGUAGCUUUAUAACAUUUGAGAAGUUCUGAAUAGGAAAUAUCAAUGGAAAUUUACAAUUUUAUUGUUACUCAAUGGUUCUCAAAGUUCAGUGUGCACAAAAUUACCCAGGGAGUCUGGAAAAUGCAGAAUUCUGGGUCCUAUCCCCAGAGUUUGGAAUCCAAUAGAUUUGGGUGGGGUCUCCAAAUUCAAUUUUUAACAAACUCCCAAGUUACCCUGAUGCAGGUGGUAGGGAUCAUGGUCUGAGGAAAACUAGAUAUAUGCCCAGACUUCUUAGCGAAUUAUGUCCUCAUUAGCUCGAGGGCCAACCAACCCCUCCCCAUGUGUUCUCAUUUGAUAUAAUUUUCUCCAAGCCAGCAGUUGUGUUUUCAUGCAGCCCAGGAAGGAGGCUUCUGAUAGUGCAGUGUAUCACCUGCAUUGUUCUUUUCAGAGCUUUUGGUCUUAGGUUUAUUCCCAGUACAAAGAUUGAAGGAUGAUCUGAAAUCAAAUACAUUUGUCUGGGAGUGGAAUGUCUGUUAGAUCCAGGUGUUGAUUUCCUUGAGCUUGAGUUCUCAGUAAAUGUCUUUCCAGUGAGAAUUCCAAUCAAGAUUCUAAAGGUUAUAUGAAAUAGGCUUGAUUUCUGGGCUUCCUCCAGGGAGAUAGCUUAAUUUUUAUAAGCAAAAUUAACUCACCACCACGGCUUGUUUUGUAAUCAGCACACGGUUCAUAUUUUAGGAUAAAAUGCUAUGUUGAUUAGUGUGUGAAACAGGUGAUCCAGAAAAUAUCUCUGUGCUGAGAAUCUUUAAGGAAGAAAUAUUUGCACUCUGGAGGAUGAAAAGAUAGCAAAACAAAAUCUAGGCAGAACUGAAGGGAAGGAAGCUCCGCUAGGAGAGUUGCUCGAUUUCUACGAGUGCGCUCACGUUAUUCGAACACCAGGGGGCAGCAUUGCACUUUGUUUGGAAAACAGUCUCUGUGGCACGCAGCCCUUUAAAGGAAAAGAACUUCUAAGUGAGCAAAGCUAAAAACCAGAACAUUAGCAAGAACCAGAAAACCAACAACACAGAACCCAAACUCUCUUUGUUAUAAUGUGCCUGCUAAGUCAGACACAUUAUUUUCUUGGUACACAGGUUUUAAUAUUGUAGUAUUAAGACUCUCCAGGGCAUACUUUCUCGGUCCAUUAA